rnacentral:rRNA from 1 species
UUAAGUUUGAUUCUUCGGAUGAAGACUUUUGUGACUGAGCGGCGGACGGGUGAGUAACGCGUGGGUAACCUGCCUCAUACAGGGGGAUAACAGUUAGAAAUGGCUGCUAAUACCGCAUAAGACCACAGUACUGCAUGGUACAGUGGUAAAAACUCCGGUGGUAUGAGAUGGACCCGCGUCUGAUUAGGUAGUUGGUGAGGUAACGGCCCACCAAGCCGACGAUCAGUAGCCGACCUGAGAGGGUGACCGGUCACAUUGGGACUGAGACACGGCCCAGACUCCUACGGGAGGCAGCAGUGGGGAAUAUUGCACAAUGGGCGAAAGCCUGAUGCAGCGACGCCGCGUGAAGGAUGAAGUAUUUCGGUAUGUAAACUUCUAUCAGCAGGGAAGAAAAUGACGGUACCUGACUAAGAAGCCCCGGCUAACUACGUGCCAGCAGCCGCGGUAAUACGUAGGGGGCAAGCGUUAUCCGGAUUUACUGGGUGUAAAGGGAGCGUAGACGGCUGUGCAAGUCUGAAGUGAAAGGCAUGGGCUCAACCUGUGGACUGCUUUGGAAACUGUGCAGCUAGAGUGUCGGAGAGGUAAGUGGAAUUCCUAGUGUAGCGGUGAAAUGCGUAGAUAUUAGGAGGAACACCAGUGGCGAAGGCGGCUUACUGGACGAUGACUGACGUUGAGGCUCGAAAAGCGUGGGGAGCAAACAGGAUUAG